rnacentral:rRNA from 1 species
UGAUAUUACCUUAUUAUUAGUGUCGUCCAAAACUGGUGCCAGAAGACUCGGUAAGGCCAGAGACACAAACGUUAAUCGUCUUAAUCAGGCGUAAAGGGUUUGUAGGCGGCUUUAAAAUUUACUUAUAAUAAAAAUAAAUAAGUAAAAAAUAAAAGCUAGAAUCAAAUAGAGGAUAUAUGAAAGAAUGCUUAGAGUAGGUCUGAUAUCCUUAGAUACUAAGUAGAAUAUUAAAGGCGAAAGCUUUUUUCCAUUAAUGAUUGACGCUCAGAAACGAAGGUGAGGAUAGGAAAUAGGAUUAGAUACCCAGAUACCCCUCUCUGUCAACGAUGAAUGGUAGUUAUUAGUAAAAAUUUUAUUAAUGGCAAUGUUAACACGAUAACCAUUCCGCCUUGUGAGUACAAUUGCAAAAUUGAAAACAAAAAAA